rnacentral:ncRNA from 1 species
AUAGCCUCCCCCGGUCGCUGCAAAAUUAGCGACCGGGUUUAGCAGCUCGGUUA